rnacentral:rRNA from 1 species
AUUGAACGCUGGCGGCAUGCCUUACACAUGCAAGUCGAACGGCAGCACGGGAGCAAUCCUGGUGGCGAGUGGCGAACGGGUGAGUAAUGUAUCGGAACGUGCCCAUUCGUGGGGGAUAACGUAGCGAAAGCUACGCUAAUACCGCAUACGAUCUAUGGAUGAAAGCGGGGGAUCGCAAGACCUCGCGCGAUUGGAGCAGCCGAUAUCAGAUUAGGUAGUUGGUGGGGUAAAGGCUCACCAAGCCGACGAUCUGUAGCUGGUCUGAGAGGACGACCAGCCACACUGGGACUGAGACACGGCCCAGACUCCUACGGGAGGCAGCAGUGGGGAAUUUUGGACAAUGGGCGCAAGCCUGAUCCAGCAAUGCCGCGUGCAGGAUGAAGGCCUUCGGGUUGUAAACUGCUUUUGUACGGAACGAAACGGCGAGCUCUAAUACAGUUUGCUAAUGACGGUACCGUAAGAAUAAGCACCGGCUAACUACGUGCCAGCCGCCGCGGUAA